AGCUCUAAGUUCAGCAGUAAGAUACAGUAUGUCAACACGUUGGCAGAGCUUCGUGAGAUGAUUCCAAUGGAAUAUGUGCAUAUACCAGACAGUAUUGUCAAGUAUGAUGAAGAUAAGUGUAUUAAGAGAAGACUGAGAACUAGCUGCCUCUCAAAUGAUCCAGAAAUGGCUUCAGUGGAGCAGGACAUCGACAUGACCCUGAAGUAAGAAGCAUCAUUGCCAGGCAUUUGAAGAAGAGGGUUCACAUGGAUUUUCAUCACCCGGACAAUCACAACCACGCCGUACAAUAAGUGAUCUGGUCAAUUGUAUUUGAUUUAUAGGUUUCCCCUGUCAUUCCGCAGUCCAGGAAGACGAAAACGGCCAGUCCUAUGGCCAUGGAAACAGCAGAAUUUUGGGUCCUGGUUAUUUUUGUUGUUUUCAGAAACAGUUUUCAUUAGGAAAGCCAUAUCAUCUAGCACUGGUUUCUCUGUGUGUGCCAUUUCUGUUUGAAAGGAUACCAUUUUACCAACAGUGUGCCUCAUAAAUAGGUCAAUGAGGAUGGGGAUUUUUUAAUUUUUGUCUUCAGCAUAUUAAUGUUUAUGCAUAGCUGAACACGGUAGUUAUUGUUACAAUAAGUGUUAGUUUGCUUGUGUCACAGAGCAGCAGCAACUUUACUGUUUAAAAAUAGCUUCAGAAAUUAUGCAGGACUUUCUUGAAUUUGACACACCGUGUUAGAUCAGGCUUUGGGCAGCCUGUCAUAGUGAAGGGUGUCCCUGCUCAAGGUAAACAGGCUGGAACUAGAUGAUUCUUAAGGGCCCUUCUGACUCAAAGUAUUCAUACUUUUAUGAAUUUGUUUUUCUUGAGGUCUGAAAAGUCUUUCCAUCUUCAUUAAAUGACUUUUUGUUUGAUCAGAGAAAAGUGUGAUAUACAAAAAAUAAUAAUUAGUCUCGUUAGACUUCCCAGGGGAUGAAUGAGUAACUGAAAUUAAUUUUAAUUUAAUAAUUCAGUUUAGUAUAUUUAUUUUAGGCAUAAUUUCCUAGAAGCAGCUAAUCCUGUAAAUUACUUUCAUAAAAUCCUUGGAGCAUUAAUUUAUUGCUGCUUUCUAAGUCUAUUUCUUCCAGAACAUUUUUUUAAAGUUAUGAAUCUUCAAGUGACAUCCUGUCUCCAGUUGUAAAGGCUGUUAAUUCUCUGAAUAUGAAUCAAAUAUUAUUUCCUACUGGGAGCUGAAAGCUGGGAGUCAUACUCAUUUGUUAGGAGUAUUUGUUAAAAUCUUGCUCCAAGAGUUUCUAUUAGACAAAAAAAUAAAUCUUAUACUGGUAUUUAUUGUCUGUGUCACAGAACACACCAGUAAAAACAUAAAAGGGAAAAACUCUAAGCAUCUUUUGUUUGCUGGGGUCCUAUUUAUUUGCACAAAAGAUACUACAGCAAGUCCUACUCCUUACUGGGAAAUAGCUUCAGUUUCUCAGAUCAUGCUUUUACAGAAGUGUGCAAAUAAAUUACCUAGUGAUUUCUGUUUGACUACUUUAAAAAGAUGAGAGUCAAGAAAAUGAUAAAUGUUUUCUCUUACCCUAAUGAAUACACAUAGGCACUUUCCAAACCUGCUGACUCACCUGCCUUUUGGGAAGUCCUAAUGGAAGUCUUAUUAUUACAUAAUCUCUGAAAUAUUAUUCUUUUUUCACAAGUUUUUUCUAUGCUUUAGUGUAGUGUCCGUGGAUUUUUUACUUUGUAAAGAAAUUCUUAGACAUAACAAUUCAUGGUAAGUUGCACCUUAUUAGUAUGGUCUAAUUCUAGUCCUGCUUUCAGUUCAGAACUAGUGAUAAAAGAGAAAACAAGCAAAGUAUUUCUUGGGACAUAAAGUUUAAGCAGAAGCAAUAGAGCAUGAGCCUUCAUGUUUUCAGCAGGAUCUAAACUGCAAGUUCUAUUCAGUCCUUCAUUUAAAAGUUUGAUGGGGUUUUUUGUGGUUUGCACAUUUCCAACUCUGUCCAUUUCUGUUUCUUGUAUUUGCAAGGGAGUCUGCAAGCAGUGAAGCAAGUGUCAUUGUGUGCAUAGUUGUUCAGCUACUGCAAUGAAGACUGACAAAGUUGUCAGAAAGGCAGAAGAGUGCUUUCUUAUUGGCCAACAAAAAACCAAAAUAUGUGUCCUCUGCUCUGUGCUGGUAUCUGUCUGACUUGCUAGUCUGCUGUAUCACAUCUGUCAGUUCCUGUAAAUUUUCACAAAGGAAGGGCCUGAUCCUGCUGACCAUUGUUGCUGCUCUGUAACCUUGUCCUAAACUAGGGUCUGGUAGUCUCCACCUUUUCUCAAAUAUUUGAAUCCUGGCUUGUGUCUUGCCUUAUAAAAGUGCUGUCACUUAGUAUAUUGGGGAUAAUGUUUUAUGUACAGAUUAAUAUUUGUAUUGACUUCCAGAUGCUAAUUAAGCUUCAUUAAGAUCUAAACUAUUAAAAGCAUUUAGGAGCAUGAAGUUGCAUCUUUUGUAGACCUGUAGUUGAAGCUUCUUAGGACAAGCCACAUGACCUGUGUUAUACAAUAGAUGAGAAAAGUUUCCACCAGAAGAGAAGUUCACCACAAAGCAGAGUUCAGCACAAAUCUUCAUUCACUCUUUGAGACCCUAUAUGGGGUAUGAGAGGUUUGUGAUUUUAAUGGUGGACAUCAGCUCAGAGUUGAAUUUAAUUCUACUUGCUUUGUGUGAAAUUACUAAGCAGCAAAGUUACAGAUUAAUAUUAUUAUUAUGGGCAGAAUAAUGGUGGCAGCCUGAGAUUAAAUGAAUGUGUUUAAGCCAAAUGGCAUGUUAACACAAAAUGGGGCAUUGAUGAGAUAAUUAAAAAAUGAUUGCAGGAUCAAAGUGUGGUUAUCUUUGCUUAUUAAUAUAUUUUGAAAAGUUUUUUAAUGUUAUGAUAAGGCAAUUCUAUGUUAUACUAACAAUAACAUAUCAAUAUUAAUAAAUCAGUAGUUUGUUGAAAGAGAAAUAUAGUACGUAUAAUUACACAGAUACAAGCUUUUAUAUAUGGAUUUUUUCUACUGUGUAUCAGAGUGCUCAGAUGAAAUAUAAAUUAGUAGUUGCAAAUUUUUUUGUUAAAAUACCUAUGCUGACUUAAAUUAUAGAUUAAGCAAUACAAGAAUAUCUAAUAGCAUUGUAUGGAUAUAUAUACCUAUGAAUCAGAAAUAAAGAAUUGCAACCCA